rnacentral:rRNA from 1 species
UGGCUGGGGGUGAAAGGCCAAUCAAACCGGGAGAUAGCUGGUUCUCCCCGAAAGCUAUUUAGGUAGCGCCUCGUGAACUCAUCUUCGGGGGUAGAGCACUGUUUCGGCUAGGGGGUCAUCCCGACUUACCAACCCGAUGCAAACUACGAAUACCGAAGAAUGUUAUCACGGGAGACACACGGCGGGUGCUAACGUCCGUCGUGAAGAGGGAAACAACCCAGACCGCCAGCUAAGGUCCCAAAGUCAUGGUUAAGUGGGAAACGAUGUGGGAAGGCACAGACAGCCAGGAUGUUGGCUUAGAAGCAGCCAUCAUUUAAAGAAAGCGUAAUAGCUCACUGGUCGAGUCGGCCUGCGCGGAAGAUGUAACGGGGCUAAACCAUGCACCGAAGCUGCGGCAGCGACACUAUGUGUUGUUGGGUAGGGGAGCGUUCUGUAAGCCUGCGAAGGUG